AGAGCCACUGCGCAGGCGCGACCCACGCCCCUUCCUCCCGGGCGACGGAAGCGCGCGAGGGCCACGCCUCGCGGCCCUCGUACUGGCCCGGAGGACAGCUACGUCAUCAGCAUCGGCGCGGCGAUUGCCAGAGCCGGGUCUGGGGGCGGGGCGGGGCGAGGAGCCUGAUUCCGGGGGCUGAUCAGGGACAAAAUUGAUGGGCUGGCGCGUGCGCGCCCAGGGAUACGUCAGUUCCGCGUAGCAACGGCACCGUGUGUCCCGUUGCUAUGGGCGCCCACAGAGUUCCGGACUGGGCAGUCGCUCAGAGGCAGGUGCUGGAGGAGCCGAGAGGUCCUGAUAGUCGAAGUCCCAGCGACGCCGCGAAAAACCACAUGCGGUUCCCAGCCAGAUGCCCCCCAGUGGCCAUCAUCAAGAUUUUAUGGAUUAGAUGCAAACCACACCUCCCACAGCACCCUGGCAGGGCUUGCCUGGGUAAAGAAGAGGAAAUGGGUGAGAGGCGUGAAGUCCUUGUCCACAAGCAGCUCAGCCACAUGCCCCUCUCUAGCGUCAUCCGAAGGCUGGCAUUUGGCAAACUUGUGUACUUUUAUAUAAAAAGGAAUAAAUUUGAAAAUAAAGCUCUGCAUUUAAAAAGUUACUUUUUGGGGGGGGAGUCAGUUUUACUUAACUUGGCUUAAUUUAAAAAACAGAAAGUGUUUAAGAUUUGGGUAAUUGCAUGCCCUCCCCCUGGAAGGGUUCCCUCCAGUCUCCCUAAUCCAAGCAACAUGGUCCGCACUUUCCAAUUUCCGAUGGACCAUGCCAAAUGCCCGGUCUGCUUGUGCUUGUCACUUAAAAUCUUAGACUGGAAGCCAUUGGGGAGGACAGACACGCCUUUCCUAAAGACACUGACUUAGUAAAAGGGAAUUACGAUGAUGCUUCCUACCUGAUGCAUUCACGUUUAAUUGACAAAUGUGGGGUUCUCUGCUGCUCCUGCUGAGCCAUUUUGCUGAAGGGAUUCCUCCAACAUCCCCCCUCCCCACAGCACAAUUUUCUUCUCUGAGGGAGUCAUCCCGCAUUGAAGACCUGGAGGAGAGACUGCAGAGGUUAAAGAUGCAGGUGGACAGCUUGGCCUCCAGCCUGACCUUGGGCCCAGAGAGGGGAGACAUUGCUGUCCCUGGGAGCCCAGGCCAGCAGGAGCAGAGUGGGCCCCACCCAGGCCAAGUGCAGCGCGCUCUGCCCUCAGAGCCUGGGCAGCAGAUAUGGUUUCUGAGUGCCCGCAUCUGGCCAGACCUCUAGGAGCUGCGCAGCACACCAGAGCUGUAUCCUUCCAUCUGGCCCCCGAGGCCCAGCCCCAGGGCUUCCUGGCACCAGGGCUGCAGCAGCUGUCUAGG
rnacentral:lncRNA from 1 species